CGGACGUACUUUCGUGAGCUCUGACUAUUGAUGAAAAGUUUUGAGUUUUACUGACUUGUACUUUGAGAGUAAAAUUGACUUCGCGUUAUAGAAUAGCGACUUGGUACUCAGGUUGUUGAAUGACUGGAUGACUGUAGUGUUAGGUUAUUGUUAUGAGAUAACAACUUGACUUUGACUUGAGUUGUGAAAUAAAAUCAUACUCUUGAACGUUUAGUAUGGACUGACAACGAACUUUUGUGAGCGUUAUAUAUGAAAUGUUUGACUUACAUUAAUUUUUUUGAACGACUUGACUUCAAUUUAAGUUUUGACAUCGGACUGAUCGGACGUGUUUUUUUAAGCCCUGACUGUUGUGAAUAAUUAAAUUUAUGUUGUGGUGUCAAGCGAUUGACUGUCAGUAGAGGUUCAGAUGUCGAGCUGUGCGGACGUGUUCAUCGAGCUGCUGUCUACAAAAAACGUGAGUACAAUUUUUUUUCGUUUUACUGUUUACAAGUUGCGUGAUGAUGUAUGAUGGUUGUAAUGUGUUGGGUAGAAAUUACUCAGUGCUGAUACAGUGUCGAUAUGUUGUGAUGAGCGAUAAUAGUGGAUGAUGGUGGAACAGAAUAUUCAUUGAGCUAUUUUGAGGAAGCGAACAUAUGAUGGAAAAAUGUUGCAAAAAUAUUAAAUGACAAUGUAUUGAAUCGCUUUUGUUGAUAUGUAUGAUAUUGAUUAAAUUGUAUUUGCAUGCUGUAACAUUUCUAUUUCAUUUCAGGGGGCUGUGGUGAGUAUUGUAGUAUAAAUUUGUUUCAAUAAAUCAUGAUGAAUGAAAACUGAUUUCGAUUCGUUUUGUACAGGUUUACUUGUAUAGAAGUGUAAGGCGUUGGGUAGAAAUUACUCAGUACUGAUAUAGUGUCGAUAUGUUGUGAUUAGCGAUGAUGGUGUAUGAUGGUGGAACAGAAUAUGAGCUACUUUGGGGAAACGAACAUAUGAUUGAAAAAUGAUUGCAAACAUAGUAGAUGAAUGAUAUGAUAUUGCUUAAAUUGUAUUUGCAUGCUGUAACAUUUCUAUUCCAUUUCAGUGCGCUGUGGUGAGUAUUGUAGUAUAAAUUUGUUUCAAUAAACGAUGAUGAAUGAAAACUGAUUUCGAUUCGUUUUUUGUAAUUGUAGGGAUUUUCACUCUAUAACAACUCUGUCGGUUGGUGUUCAUGAGUGUGAGCUUAAUACAGCAAUGUUUGAGUAGUACAAAAAUGUUUUCGCUUUUGUGGUCGCCAGCUGUCCGUGAUCUGUAAAGUGAAAAUACACAGAGCUAUGAAGCAUACAAAUGUUUCGAAAUUUUAUCAAUGAUUGUAUACUAUGCAUGUUUUGAUUUAGUUCGUUUCAGAUUUGACAUGAGAUGAAAACCUGACAUGAUUUGAACAGAGCUGGGAAACGAAAAGAUUUUCAGAUGUGUGCUGGCAGUUGAAGUCUGGCAGCCGGAGUGAACAGUCGUGAUUUCUGGAGCUCCAACAAUAUGCUAGAAGGAGUGCUUAUCCAGUGAUGAUAUGACAGUUGGAGUGAACAGUGGAGCCAAGCAGUCUUGUUUUUGGAGCUACUCAACAAGCCUUGAAGGUAAGUUUAGAAUUCCUCAAUGUUAGUGAAUUAUUUAAAAAAAAUGCUGUCAGUAAAGUACUGUCAGUUGCUUUUGGACAGUCGAACAGAACAGACGUGGUUGCGAGAGCUCUCAUAUCUGUUGUGUUAAACUGUUUUUAUGAUAUGUUAUGUUUGUUUGUUUGUUUGUUGGUGUUGUACUAUUUUUCAGAUGCUGUUGGCAGUGAUGGGUUUUCAAGCUGACCUGAACAGAAAAGCAAUCAUAUGGUAAGUACAAAUAGUUGUUAUAUGGGAUGUUUUGUGCAUGCUUUUAUGUUUCAGGUGUACUUGCAGUUAGAGACGAAGACGAUUCAAGAAGAGGACCAUAGGUCAGAAAGUGGAUGGAACAUACAAAGGGUAAGUUGAACCUGUGUUUUUGUUUGAUUUUUACCAUGCAUACUUUGCUUUGCUCUGUUUCAGAUUUCACAUGCAGAAAUUAAACAGGAUUUCAACUGCUGAGACACAAUUCAUCACAAGUAAGGUAAGUUUUAAUUCAUUGAUUUGAGUUGUACAAUGUGUUCUUUACUUUAUUUCAGAUUCGAGUCACUGGUUUACACAUGGAAGAAGAUUUCCACGUCGGUUACUCAACUCUACAGAAGCAAGGUAAGUCGAUCAAAUUUUUGUUUUCAUUUGUACUGCUGUAAUGUGAUAGUAAACUUAUGCUAUUUUUCAUGUGUGUCAUGUACAGAUGGAUAAUUCAAGUUUGAUCUGUGUUGGUUUAUGUUCAAAAACGUUUUACAUGUAUGUGUGUUUGAAGAUGUUUUGUUUCAGUGGAUGUCCAGAUGGCAAGCAGAACAGACGUGUUUCUUGGAGCUGCCAAACAGUGAGUACAAACGUUUUAUAUUUUUCAGUUGUUUACUCAUAGAAGUCUGUGAAAGAUGAUAACAAGGGUUGAAUUGCACAGUACUUGUGUCUAAAAAUGCUGAUGUGUGACGGUUUACUGAAAAGGGUAAAUGCUAGCCAGUACUAACACUUGAGCAACCGUGGGAUGUCGAACUAACUGAUGAUGUACUAUGAUGGUGAACACUUACUAUGUGUAUCGAAAUGCUUUUGUUGAUAUUUAUUAUAGAUGAUUUGAUAUUGGUUAACAUUUGUUUGCAUGCUGUUAACAUUUCUAUUUCAUUUCAGGGAGCUGUGGUGAGUAUUGUAGUAUACAUUUGUUUCAAUAAUGUUUGAGUAGUACAAAAAUGUCUUUACUUUUGUGAUCGCCAGUUGUCUGUGAUAUGUAACGUAAACAAAAAACACAGCUAUGAAGCAUACAAUUGUUUCGAAAUUUUAUCAAUGAUUGUAUACUAUGCAUGUUUUGAUUUAGUUCGUUUCAGAUAUGACAUGACAUGAAGAGUUGACAGUCGAACAGAGCUGAGCAAUGCAGAAAGGUAAGUGUGUUUCAUUUUAGUAUGAACACUUGUAUUUUGUUUUUAUAUGGUAUGUUUUGUGCAUGCUAUGUUUCAGGUGUACUUGUAGUCAGCGACGAAGACGAUUCAAGAAGAGGAACAUUGCUGAGAAAGUGAAUGGGACUUGCAAACAGGGUAAGUGUUACAAUUGUUUGUUUGAUUUUUACCAUGCAUACUUUGCUUUGCUCUGUUUCAGAUUUCACAUGCAGAAAUGGUCUCAUAGCAGUGCCAACAGUGAAUAAGGAUUUCAUCUGCUGUGAAACAACUCAACAGAAAGUAGGUAAGCAUUGAAUGAAUGCACUUGAGUUGUACAAUUUGAUGUGAUGCUUUUUUCUGUUUCAGAUUCAAGUUUCUGGUGUAGACAGAAAAAUGUGUUUGAAGAAGGAAUUCUACUACUGUGAUUCAACUCUACAGAAGCAAGGUAAGUAGAAACAAAAUUUUGGUUUAAUUUAACUCAUGUGUUUUGCACUGCAUGCUAUUUUUCAGGUCUCUCAUGCAGUGAUGCAAAAGAAGAAGAUUUCAAGAAAGAAUCACUGCUGCAACUCAGGCCUAUAACAAGGUAAGUGUUUACUAUAUUGUAUACAAAAUGUUUCUCUGUUUUACUCUGUUUGAAGGUUUCAAUUGCAGAGAUGUUGCAGAGAUGUUUUGACAGCUUGUGACAGAAAAGAAAUUCAGCAGCUGUGUCUCGACUCUAGCCACGAGGUAAGUCAAAACAAAUAUACUGGUUUGUAUGUUAUGUUGUUAUGCCCUUCUAUGUUUCAGACUUACAUUGCUGUGACUGUUCCACAGUGGGUCAAAAAAGAGACGAAUACAGGUUUCAAGAAGAAAAUUGGCUGUUGAAAACCUGCACAAAAUAUGAGGUAAGUAAACUAUUCUUUUGGUUUGUUUUGUGCUUUGUUAUGCUUAACUAUUUUUCAGAUUGGAAUGGUGGGUCGUUACAGAGCAGACUUUUGGACAACUGAGAAGUUGAGAAACAGAGAAUGAUUCAAGAUCAGCUAGGUAAGUCUUGAUUAUUGUGCAUUGCUAAAUGUUUUUUUUCAUUCCAGUAUGGCUGUGGUAAGUACACAAACUUUCUAUAAUUUAAUAUUGAACUGUUUUUAUGACCUGUAUUCUGCAUUGUAAAAUGUCUGUUUUUCAUUUCAGUAUCCUGUGGUAAGUACACUAACUUUCUUUAAUUUUCAUAUUGAACUGUUUUGAUGACUUGUAUACUACUAUGCAAUGCCUAAUGUUUUUUUCAUUUCAGUAGCCUGUUGGUAAGUACACUAACUUUCUAUAAUUUCAUAGUGAAUUGUUUUGAUGACCUGUAUUCUGCAUUGUAAAAUGUGUUUCUUUUUCAUUUCAGUAUGGCUGUGGUAAGUACAAUUGCCUUUCAUAUUGAACUGUUUUGAUGACCUGUAUUUUGCAUUGUAAAAUGUGUUUCUUUUUCAUUUCAGUAUGGCUGUGGUAAGUACACAAACUUUCUUUAAUUUUCAUAUUGAACUGUUUUGAUGACUUGUAUUCUACUAUGCAAUGCUUAAUGUAUUUUUUUCAGUAGCCUGUUGGUAAGUACAAUUGCCUUCUUUAAUUUUCAUAUUGAACUGUUUUGAUGAUGUGUAUACUGCUAUGCAAUGCUUAAUGUUUUUUUCAUUUCAGUAUGGCUGUGGUAAGUACACAUACUUUCUAUAAUUUCAUAUUGAACUGUUUUGAUGACUUGUAUACUGCUAUGCAAAAUGUCUGUUUUUCAUUUCAGUAGCCUGUGGUAAGUACACUAACUUUCUUUAAUUUUCAUAUUGAACUGUUUUGAUGACUUGUAUUCUGCUAUACAAAAUGUGCUUUUUUCAAUUUCAGGUCAGCAAUGGUAAGUAUAGUGUGUUUUUUUAUGUAUAAUUUUGUAUACAUAUUGUUUUUUUCAUCAUAGCAUGUCUUUUAUAUUUAUGCUUUGUGUAAGUAAAAUGUUCAUAAAUCAUUCUUAUCUUCAAACUAAAAAUGUAUUGUGCUAUGCAAAAUGUCUGUAUGAUUUCAGUUGCCAGAGGUGAGUACCAUUACAGUUGAAAAGUUAGUUUUGUUUAGUUAAAGUUUUGGUUCACAGUUCUGUUUGUUAUUUGGCAAAAUUUACAUGUAUGCAUUGAGUCUUGAUUUCAGCUCGAUUGUGGACUGAAGAAGAUUGCCCGCAGAGGGAUUGGAUACAAAAUACAAAGUAAGUACUGAGUUUCUUACUAAAAGUUUUGAGUUGUAUUCAUUGUGUGUUAAUAUGCUAUGAUUGCUAUGAACAUGACUUUUGUAUUUCAGCGAAGACAACAUAGGUAAGUAAAAUUGUUAUCUGUUUCAUGUUUACUGUUACAGUUCAAUAUUGUGUUUAUAAAUUGUAAGUUGUACAAACACAUUCAAAAGUUUCUAAUCAUGCUUUCGAUUUCAUUUCAGCUUUACUGCUAGACGAGUGUUCUCUACUACUUGACGAGUCAGCUUUACUACCAUGCGAGC